CAACCCUCGAGCUCGUCUUCAUUGACGAGAUCGGUGUUGGGACCCGGCAAAGCGGACCCAGUCCGGCGCCGGCCCCGAAAUUCAGUGGCGGCCCGUUGCGGCGACCUCUGCGUAGUAACUUAACCUCGCAGUGGAAGAGCAGCGCGGCCACGCCGUAAAACCCCCGACUUUUUUAA
rnacentral:misc_RNA from 1 species